AAACCGACUUGUCUAGCCAAAUUUCUGAACUGUCACCCACUCUCCUUCUACAUACUUCAUUUCUAUCACCAGUUGGUUCCAAUUCUUGAGAAAAAACAGUCAUUUCUCCUCCUCGUUCUUCAGCUCAUAGCCAUUCUCCCCCUCCCAAUCCAAAUUACUCUAUGGUCGAUCCCUCAAUCUGGCUUUCUGACCCACCUUCGAUCCUUUUCCAGUGACUCCACGACGUACCUAGGCACUCCUCCUAUCAGAAAAAAUUGAUCCCCUUUCUUUAAACUUUAUAUGGCUAUUAUAUAAGCCACCAAAUUUGUCGUUCUAGGUGUAUGUUUAAAGGAAAAUCUGUUGAAACAUUAUCGGUAAUGUUGAAUAUCUCUUAUAUAAGCCCUCAUUUCUGAUUCAUCUGUCUCACUUGACUGACAUUUCUUGAUGACUAACAACACAUCUCCCUCAACCACCGCCAACUGCAAACCUAAAUCUAACCCUAAAUGCAUCGUCUGAGCACAAGCGAGAGCUUUGACAGCAAACGGUGAUGCAAUAUUGCAGUUCAAAACAAAUGCCGAAACCAUCCCAUGGCAUCCUUUACCACCAACCGAAACUAGUUCACUUCUGAUGAUUAUCAAAGGCAGCAUCAGAAUUGAUCUUAAAGCUUUGCCCCUCCGAAGGACUCCAUCACGCAAUCCUUUCCCCCAUCUUAGGUGUUCAUUUCCCCUCAUCCAACCAUUUAUUCCUUUCGGUCCAGAUUACCCAUAAUGCACAACAUAGCAGACAACACUGGUGACUGAAUUAUUUUUGAAGCACCAGGGCGUUGCUAGAAGACAUAUUCCAAACUCUCUACAACACCCUACGCUUGGGGCAUAUUGCACUAGCCACUAUUCUCUUGUAAUACAUAUUAGCUAGAAUAGUCAAAAAAGUUUUAAGGAAAUUUUCCAAAUUGUAAUUAACUAUUUAGAAGGUAGUUCUAGAUUCUAUAAUUUUUUUUUCUUGUAAAAAGCCCUAGAAUCCUUUGGGUUGUAAUUAAUAGUGGGACUAGUAGCAUCUUCGAGAAGCAUUUUGUACACUUUGAAUCAAGAA